UUGCCAUGAUGAUACUCUUACCCAGCUCAUUAUGAGACUACCCUCUGUGGGUAGUCAUGAUAUGUGCUUUUCCUUCGUAUCUGAGCACA